UUUUAAAAAAAAAAAAGAGAGAGAGAGGGAGAAACAGUCAGCGAGAAUGCCGGGAACUAAGGGAAGCUGAGAGGGUGCACGCAGCUCCCGGGGCACCUCAGCAGCGACGGAAGGCCCCGGGGAAGGGGGAAUUCCUUACACACGGCUCCACCCCACCGCUUUCUGCCGCACAACAAUGGCAGAGCGAAGCGGUACCUCCCCGCAGCCGCUCAGCACGGGGCCGGAGCGCCGCACGAGCGGAUACGGCGAUGCUCAACGCAGAACGCUGCGGAGCACAGAGCCCCGCACGGCGGCGGGCGGCUCGGGGGAGAGGCAGCACCCCGCGGAGCAGCGCUCGGGGACGGACACCGCAGGACCACGCCGGGCUGGGAGCGGGGGGAGGCGGGGGUGUCAGCCCCUCCCGUUCGCCGUUUAACGAUUCAGGUUUUCUGAUCUUGGAAGGAAUCUCUGACCAUCUGGAUUUGGACUCCGCAAAGGAAAUCAGCCUUCCUGCCUCGGGGAACCUGUUGAAUUUGCAUCCCCUUUGGGCUCCAUCUGAAAUUGAGGGGAGGCUCUUCCAGCUUGCACACAGCUGAAGGAACCAGCCAAAAGCCAUUGGAAAAUGUGUCAGCCCAGCAAUCACAGCACUGGUGCUCAGCAGCUCCUGCCUGGUGCUUUUCCAUUACAUCAAGAGCAAUCAUAAACA